AGUGAACGCUGGCGGUAGGCCUAACACAUGCAAGUCGAACGGCAGCACAGUAGGAGCUUGCUCUUACGGGUGGCGAGUGGCGGACGGGUGAGGAAUACAUCGGAAUCUACUUUUUCGUGGGGGAUAACGUAGGGAAACUUACGCUAAUACCGCAUACGACCUACGGGUGAAAGCAGGGGAUCUUCGGAUCUUGCGCGAUUGAAUGAGCCGCUGUCGGAUUAGCUAGUUUGCGGGGUAAAGGCCCACCAAGGCGACGAUCCGUAGCUGGUCUGAGAGGAUGAUCAACCACACUGGAACUGAGACACAGUCCAUGCUCCUACGGGAGGCAGCAGUGGGGAAUAUUGGACAAUGGGCGCAAGCCUGAUCCAGCCAUACCGCGUGGGUGAAGAAGGCCUUCGGGUUGUAAAGCCCUUUUGUUGGGAAAGAAAAGCAGCAGGUUAAUACCCCGCUGUUCUGACGGUACCCAAAGAAUAAGCACCGGCUAACUUCGUG
rnacentral:rRNA from 1 species